AGGAUGAACGCUGGCGGCGUGCUUAACACAUGCAAGUCGAACGGUGAAGGAGAGCUUGCUCUCCGGAUCAGUGGCGAACGGGUGAGUAACACGUGAGCAAUCUGCCCCUGACUCUGGGAUAAGCGUUGGAAACGACGUCUAAUACCGGAUACGAGCUGCGAAGGCAUCUUCAGCAGCUGGAAAGAACUUCGGUCAGGGAUGAGCUCGCGGCCUAUCAGCUAGUUGGUGAGGUAAUGGCUCACCAAGGCGUCGACGGGUAGCCGGCCUGAGAGGGUGACCGGCCACACUGGGACUGAGACACGGCCCAGACU
rnacentral:rRNA from 1 species